rnacentral:rRNA from 1 species
GACCGUGUCUGGUGCCGCAGGGAAGCCGUGAAGCGAGCCACCUGGGAAGUACGGCNNNCGCAAGGCUGAAACUUAAAGGAAUUGGCGGGGGAGCACAACANACGGGUGGAGCCUGCGGUUAAUUGGACUCAACGCCGGACAACUCACCGGGGGCGACAGCAAUAUGUAGGCCAAGCUGAAGACUUUGCCUGAAUCGCUGAGAGGAUGCAUGGCCGUCGCCAGUUCGUACUGUGAAGCAUCCUGUUAAGUCAGGCAACGAGCGAGACCCGUGCCCACUGUUACCAGCAUGUCCUCCGGGACGAUGGGUACUCUGUGGGGACCGCCGAUGUUAAAUCGGAGGAAGGUGCGGGCCACGGUAGGUCAGUAUGCCCCGAAUCUCCCGGGCUACACGCGGGCUACAAUGG